rnacentral:rRNA from 1 species
UACAGAGGUGGCAAGCGUUGUUCGGAAUUACUGGGCGUAAAGGGCGCGUAGGCGGCCUUGUAAGUCCCGUGUGAAAUCCCCUGGCUCAACUAGGGAAUUGCACGGGAGACUGCUUGGCUUGAGUUCGGGAGAGGGAAGCGGAAUUCCGGGUGUAGCGGUGAAAUGCGUAGAUAUCCGGAGGAACACCGGUGGCGAAGGCGGCUUCCUGGACCGACACUGACGCUGAGGCGCGAAAGCUA